rnacentral:lncRNA from 1 species
GCGGCCGCACCCCCCACCCACCCCGGCGCGGGGGCCCGGCCGCGGGAACGCCCUCCCGGAAUGAAGCGCUUCCCGGUGCCUUCAAGUUUCUCAGCAUCCCCUGGACUGGGGACUGGAGGGCCACCCACACAAGGCAUUUCUUACCAUUCCGACACAAAAGCAUUCCAGUUUGUGUUGUAGCAGAGACACAGAUGAGGGGAUCUCCUUCAUCCUUCUCCAGAAGAGAAGAGGAAACAGAAGAAGAAACGCCUGGUGCAGAGUCCCGAUUCCUACUUCAUGGAUAUGACAUGCCCAGGAUGCUAUAAAAUCACCAUGGUCUGUAGCCAUGCACAAACGGUAGUUUUGUGUGUUGCCUGCUCCACUGUUCUCUGCCAGCCUACAGGAGGAAAAGGAAGGCUACAGAAGGAUGUUCCUUCAGGAGGAAGCAGCACCCAAAGCACUCUGAAUCAAGAUGAGUGGGAAACCAUCUCAAUAAACACAUUUU